rnacentral:rRNA from 1 species
UACGGGAGGCAGCAGUGGGGAAUAUUGCACAAUGGGCGAAAGCCUGAUGCAGCUAUGCCGCGUGUAUGAAGAAGGCCUUAGGGUUGUAAAGUACUUUCAUCGGGGAGGAAAAAACAAAACUAAUAAUUUUAUUUCUUGACGUUACCCGAAAAAGAAGCACCGGCUAACUCCGUGCCAGCAGCCGCGGUAAUACGGAGGGUGCUAGCGUUAAUCAGAAUUACUGGGCGUAAAGAGCACGUAGGUGGGUUUUUUUAAGUUCAGAUGUGAAAUCCCUCGGGCUUAACCUAACGGAACUGCAUUUUGAAACUGAAAUAACUAGAGUAUCGUAGAGGGAGGUAGAAUUCUAGGUGUAGCGGUGAAAUGCGUAGAUAUCUGGAGGAAUACCUGUGGCGAAAGCGGCCUCCUAAACGAAUAACUGACACUGAGGGUGCGAAAAGCGUGGGGAGGACAAACAGGGAUUAGAUACC